CUAUACGGAAACAGAAUAUCCACAAUAGAGGACAAUGCAUUCAGCGGUUUGACAAAAUUAAAAUACAUAUAUCUGUUCGAUAACGAAAUAACAUCAAUAAGCAACCGCACACUUACUGGUUUGACGAACUUAGAGUUACUGAAGCUAGAAAACAACAGAAUUACCACAGUCGAAGACAACGCAUUCAACGGUUUGACUAAAUUAAAGAGACUGUAA